rnacentral:rRNA from 2 species
CGGAUGAGUGGAGCUUGCUCCAUGAUUCAGCGGCGGACGGGUGAGUAAUGCCUAGGAAUCUGCCUGGUAGUGGGGGACAACGUUUCGAAAGGAACGCUAAUACCGCAUACGUCCUACGGGAGAAAGUGGGGGAUCUUCGGACCUCACGCUAUCAGAUGAGCCUAGGUCGGAUUAGCUAGUUGGUGAGGUAAAGGCUCACCAAGGCGACGAUCCGUAACUGGUCUGAGAGGAUGAUCAGUCACACUGGAACUGAGACACGGUCCAGACUCCUACGGGAGGCAGCAGUGGGGAAUAUUGGACAAUGGGCGAAAGCCUGAUCCAGCCAUGCCGCGUGUGUGAAGAAGGUCUUCGGAUUGUAAAGCACUUUAAGUUGGGAGGAAGGGCAGUAAGUUAAUACCUUGCUGUUUUGACGUUACCGACAGAAUAAGCACCGGCUAACUUCGUGCCAGCAGCCGCGGUAAUACGAAGGGUGCAAGCGUUAAUCGGAAUUACUGGGCGUAAAGCGCGCGUAGGUGGUUCGUUAAGUUGGAUGUGAAAGCCCCGGGCUCAACCUGGGAACUGCAUCCAAAACUGGCGAGCUAGAGUAUGGCAGAGGGUGGUGGAAUUUCCUGUGUAGCGGUGAAA